rnacentral:rRNA from 1 species
AGAGUUUGAUCAUGGCUCAGAACGAACGCUGGCGGCGUGCCUAACACAUGCAAGUCGAACGCGAAAAGCAGUAAUGCUGAGUAGAGUGGCGCACGGGUGCAUAACACGUAACUGACGUGUCCUCGAAACUGGGAUAACCACUCGAAAGGGUGGCUAAUACUGGAUAAGCCCACGGCUUUGGAGCUGAGGGAAAAGGUAUGGGACCCUUUGGGGCCAUACAUUUGAGGAGCGGGUUGCGGCCCAUCAGGUAGUUGGCGGGGUAACGGCCCACCAAGCCUAAGACGGGUAGCUGGUCUGAGAGGAUGAUCAGCCACACUGGAACUGAGACACGGUCCAGACUCCUACGGGAGGCAGCAGUGGGGAAUCUUGCGCAAUGGGAGCAAUCCUGACGCAGCAACGCCGCGUGGGUGAUGAAGGUCUUCGGAUCGUAAAGCCCUGUCGGAGGGGAAGAGGCUUUGCACAGCUAACAGUGGUGCAAGGUGACGGUACCCUCAAAGGAAGCACCGGCUAACUCUGUGCCAGCAGCCGCGGUAAUAC